AUUGAACGCUGGCGGCAGGCCUAACACAUGCAAGUCGAACGAGUGGCGGACGGGUGAGUAAUGUCUGGGAAACUGCCUGAUGGAGGGGGAUAACUCCUGGAAACGGUAGCUAAUACCGCAUACCAUCAGAGGUGCCCAGAUGGGAUUAGCUAGGGGGUGGGGUAACGGCUCACCUAGCCGACGAGCCCUAGCUGGUCUGAGAGGAUGACCAGCCACACUGGAACUGAGACACGGUCCAGACUCCUACGGGAGGCAGCAGUGGGGAAUAUUGCACAAUGGGCGCAAGCCUGAUACAGCCAUGCCGCGUGUAUGAAGAAGGCCUUCGGGUUGUAAAGUACUUUCAGCGGGGAGGCGUUACCCGCAGAAGAAGCACCGGCUAACUCCGUGCCAGCAGCCGCGGUAAUAC
rnacentral:rRNA from 1 species